AACCUUUACACUACGCGCAAGCGUGAUAAGGGGAUCCUGAGUGCUUAUGCACUGCAUAGGCUUUUGCUAACGGUAAAUACGUUAGCGAAUAAGUGGUGGACAAGACUGGUGCCAGCCGCCGCGGUAAUCCCAGCACCACGAGUGGGGAUCGCAAUUAUUUGGCCUAAAGCGCUCGUAGCCGGUUAUGAAAAUCUCUUGUGAAAUCGUUGCGCUUAACGUAACGGCGAGCAGGAGAGACUACAUGACUAGGGACUGGGAGGCGUCAAAGGUAUUCCUAGGGGAGCAGUAAAAUGCUAUAAUCCUGGGAGGACCACCUGUGGCGAAGGCGUUUGACGAAAACAGGUCCGACGGUGAGGGGCGAAAGCUAGGGGAGCGAUCCGG
rnacentral:rRNA from 1 species